rnacentral:pre_miRNA from 1 species
UGUGCACUGGUGGGGUCCCUCAGCCUGGCCUGCCCCCUCUCACAACCCGGGACCCCUUGGGGGAUGUCGGACUGCUGGUUUCGGCCCAAUCCCCACAGGCCAGGCUGAGGGACCCCACCGGUGCAUG